GGUUAACGCUGGCGGCGUGCCUUAUACAUGCAAGUCGAGCGAGGGCCUAUUUCCCGCAAGGGAGGUGGGUUCCUAGCGGCGAACGGGUGAGUAGCACGUGGGCAACCUGUCCUUUCGUGGGGGAUAACACCGAGAAAUCGGUGCUAAUACCGCAUGUCGUCGCCGAAGGCAUCUUCGGCGAACAAAGCAGCAAUGCGCGAGAGGGUGGGCCCGCGACCUAUCAGCUUGUCGGUGGGGUAACGGCCUACCGAGGCUCUGACGGGUAGCUGGUCUGAGAGGACGACCAGCCACACGGGGACUGAGACACGGCCCCGACUCCUACGGGAGGCAGCAGUAAGGAAUCUUCCGCAAUGGGCGAAAGCCUGACGGAGCGACGCCGCGUGUGGGAUGAAGUCUCUCGGGAUGUAAACCACUGUCGGAGGGGAAGAGAAUGGACGGUACCCUCCAAGAAAGCCCCGGCUAACUACGUGCCAGCAGCCGCGGUAAUACGUAGGGGGCAAGCGUUACUCGGAUUCACUGGGCGUAAAGCGCGUGUAGGCGGCUGGUCAAGCGCGAUGUGAAAUCUCCGGGCUUAACCCGGAAACUGCAUCGCG
rnacentral:rRNA from 1 species